rnacentral:rRNA from 1 species
CGUAGGUGGCGAGCGUUAUCCGGAAUUACUGGGCGUAAAGCGCAAGCAGGCGGUCUGUUAAGUUUGACGUAAAAUCUCCUGGCUUAACUGGGAGGGGUCGUUGGAGACUGGCAGACUUGAGGCGAUGAGAGGGGCAUGGAAUUCCCGGUGUAGUGGUGGAAUGCGUAGAGAUCGGGAGGAACACCAGAGGCGAAAGCGGUGCCCUGGCAUUGGCCUGACGCUGAGAUGCGAAAGCGUGGGGGAGCGAACGGGAUU